CCCUUAGAUGUUCUGGGCCGCACACGCGCUACACUGAAGGAGGCAGCGUGUACUCCUGGAUCGAAAGAUUUGGGUAACCCGCGAAUCUCCUUCGUGCUAGGGAUUGAGGUUUGCAAUUAUCCUUCAUGAACGAGGAAUUCCCAGUAAGUGCAAGUCAUAAGCUUGCGCUGACUACGUCCCUGCCCUUUGUACACACCGCCCGUCGCUACUACCGAUUGAAUGAUUUAGUGAGGACUUCGGACUGGGACCGAUGCGGCUUUCGGCUGCGUCGGUAUUCUGGAAAGAUGUCCAAACUGUAUCAUUUAGAGGAAGUAAAAGUCGUAACA
rnacentral:rRNA from 1 species